rnacentral:rRNA from 11 species
GAUAAUGUCAAAACACCCUGAAGGCACUAGAUCCCCUAGGACUUUGGAAGCUAAGCAGAGUCAGGCCUGGCAAUUAGUUCGAUGACUGAUUGCAAAGGAAUACCACAAGCAGGCAAUGGUA